UGGCAUAGCUUCGUUGGCAGAGCACGAGACUCUUAAUCUCAGGGCUGUGGGUUCGAGCCCCACAUUGGGGAAAAG